rnacentral:lncRNA from 1 species
UUGUUAUUGUGCUUGAUUUGUAUUUUUCUAUCAAGUAUCGUUAAAGAUUGCCUCUAGUCUGUAUUCACAAAUUUGUCUUAAACUGGUAGCAUUCUCAUGAUCUCAGUUUCUAUGCUUUUCAAUUGGCAGGGAUGCUCUGGAUGCUUUGGAAUUGUUCCGCUACUGCUGCAGGCGAAUGCUCAUGACCCAUGUUGACCUCAUUGAGAAGUUGCUCAACUACAACAGUAAGUUGAAUUAUUAUUAUUUUUUAGCUGCGAUUCAAGUUGUGAAUUUUCAUUUAUGGCCGCACCAUUUAUGGAUGUAUCGAUUUUUUAUUUUCAGCACUGGAGAAGACCGAGACAAGUUAAGUGAGCAAGCAUAUCAUGCUCUGAAAGCACUACUGUUUCGCAGUAUCAUAUAUAUUGUAGGCGGUAUGUUGUCUCUUCUCUAUCAGGAGAGGAUUGUUGUCAGUGUGAACUUGCUUUUGCUCACGAGCAUUCAAGGACUGACAGUGCAUGUUGCAUCUAUGCCACGAUGUUGGAGAUUUUAAUCGAUAUAAUAACUGCUAACUAAUACUCUCUUUGUCUCUGUCCCAAUUUAUAAUUCGUUUGACCUUUUUACAUCAAGUUUGAUUGGCUCGUAUUAUUGCAUCGGCCGUAUGCAUACUCAUGUGCUUCGAGGUAUACAACGGCCGAAAAUGGCCACUCGGUCCGUCGUCGUCGCGAGGUAUAUACAAUGGCCACUCGGUCAUGUGCUUCGAGCUAGGCUGUACCUGUACGUGCUGCUAUGAUUUGAUGCGUCCGCAUGUGCUUCGCGGUGCAACUUGCGUUGUUCCUAAAUCAUGCAGCAUUUCGCUUCGUUGACUUCCACAGCAUUUCGCUUCGUUGACUUCCACAAUAGGCUGUACCUGUACGUGCUGCUAUUAUUCAUCUGGGACUGGCAUAUAGUACGUUCAGAUUCUUCAUGUUUUGGCCUGAUCAGGUGUAUUUUUCACCGGAUCUCAGUACCCGUUUGGCCUGAUCAGGCUAUGGCGAUAUGCAGACGAUGUUCAACUUUACUAAUCUCUCUCUCUUUUUUUCUGUCCAAACUGUAUUAUUGCAUCCGUUUGUGAAUGCACGAAUUCAUUUGCAAGGAGGAACAAAACUGUGAUCAAAGAACAAAGAAUCAAAGAGAACGACCGACCUAUGUACAGUUGUACACACACACACAAAAAUGGCGCGCGAUCCCCGCAACUGGGGGAUCGAGCAGGCGGCGGAUUCGUUCGGCCGCCGGCCGGUCAGCCCUCGAAGCUGGACGAGCGGCUCCAUCUCCCCCUGAGGUACUCCUCCAACGACACGGCGGCGGCGGCGGCGAAGAUGAUCAUACCGGUGCGCUGCUUCACCUGCGGCAAGGUAACACGUCCCUCCCGAUUCGCUCUACAGUUUGCGCGGCCGGUUUGGGUUAGGUUAGUUCCUCUAGGGUUUGGUUCGAGUCGCGCAGCGACAACUCGGUACCCCUCUGGGCCUGCAGCACUCACCGCGAGCACCGCUUGCUAGGCUGUCAGCCACGUCUCGAGCAUGUGGGGAGGAUACGUUGUUGUGCUAGCGAGUUGAACUAAGGUGUGUUUGUUUAUCGAUAUUACAGGUGAUUGGGAACAAGUGGGACCUCUACCUCGACCUCCUCCAGGCCGACUACUCGGAAGGGUAAAAUCUCCUGUCUUUUCAUCUCAGGGCUCUUAUAUUGUGGUUUUAUCACUGCAUCUCGAGUGGUGUUUCUGUUGCAUCGUGCUGUGGUGUUUUAAGAGGUUUAAAGCAAGAAGUUUGUUUUGGUGCUGAGGUAAAGAUAUGUGAUGCUCUGCACAAGUCUGAGUUAUGCCAAAAAGGGAUACGGUUUCUAUUCCUUUUCUCCCUAUAUAAAUAAACAUAUCCAUUUAUAAGUUCUGUCAAAGCAGCCCCUUUCCUAAAAUUUGUUAUGGAUCCUGGCAUAUGAGAUCAAUUAUGCGUUAUCUUCAGUGUGGUAGCUCUUGUUAAUUGCAAAACUUUAGUAAUCUUUUUUAUAUUUCUAAAAUUCGGACUCUAGGCUGUUAAGAAUAUCAAUGCAAUAUGCUGUAUAUCUUGUUACAGACAAAGAUAACCAAUAGUGUAUUGAUCCAUAGUUAUUCAAUAAGAGAUUGUGCAUGUGCAUACUGAAUUACUGAUUUAGCAGUAGUGGCAUUGUUAAUUGUUUGUGUCCUUGACUAUAUGUCUGAUAACGAUUAACAGUUUACUGACCAGAGAUCACUGAUCUAUAGGUAGUUUUAUUUGUACCGCAUUAAAAGAUUUGUAGCCUCUAAGCUUUAUUUGUAUGGUAUCAAAUUGUCAUUGUGUGUCCUCGGUUCGCCUACAUGUUAUCUUAGUUCAGAUUAGCUAAGAAUUAAGAUGUAUAUGUCUGUAACUUCAGGGUUUCUCUUUUUGUGCCCUACUAGGAUCUCAUGCUUAACCUUUUGUUAUAUUUAUACAUCCUGAGUGUUGGUGGUCGAAAUUAGUCAUUACUAAUGCUAUUUAUGUUUAAUAGUACAUUUUAAUUUCAUUAUUCAUGGCAACAGAAAUUACCGAAGUUUGUAAAACUUAAACUGUUCUUACCCUGAAACCAACUACUGCCCAUCCUUACUGAGCACCCAGGGUUCAGAUGAGGCGGCAACCACUGUACCAAAACACCAAAACGAACCUCGAGUUGACAUGAUACGACCCUGCAUAAAUGAACAUGUUUCGUAGUACUAAAUCCAAAUCUAUUAAACCAGUGGACACCUGUCGUGGGUGCAGUCAGCUAGGCCAUAUGGGCUGGGUCAUUUAGUAUGAAAGGUUCAUUAGGAUUCUGGUUAGAGAUAAGAUUAGCCAUCUUGCUUGAAACUAGCCUUGUCUCUGACACGAGCGCAGAUAAGAUAGGAUAAUCCUUUUGAGCCCUGGUCAUACUCCAAAACUGCAUCUCCUCACUAACUAGUAGCACUCCUGCUAGUUUAGGAAAGAGACCCUAAAACACACACUGGUUGUGGUGGUUACAAAUUGGCCAUGUUUCUGAGAUGACGAUGGAGUUGUUGAUCCCCUUCCUAGCUUGUCCAUUUACUCUUGUUUGCAAUGUAGCCCAUCAAUCAUUAAAGGAAAACCCAUCUAUCAACAGUAAUCUAAAUAUACUAUAGUAUAUUACGAUUUUGUGCUAUGCAUCGCAGUUGGUAAAGAUUUUGACCUACUCAGUUCUCUGAGCAUAUAAGGUUGUGUCCAGCAUAUCGUGCAUAUGGUCGUACAAAACAUUAUUUUAAAUUGUAGAUAAUAUUGUUUGCAGAGUGGAGUUUAAAAUAGGAGGUGAGAUAAGGAAUGUGAUAGGAGAGCUGGUGGAGAUAGCCUAAGGGCUCCGUGUCCUUGUUAUUGUGCUUGAUUUGUAUUUUUCUAUCAAGUAUCGUUAAAGAUUGUCUCUAGUCUGUAUUCACAAAUUUGUCUUAAACUGGUAGCAUUUUCAUGAUCUCAGUUUCUAUGCUUUUCAAUUGCCAGGGAUGCUCUGGAUGCUCUGGAACUGUUCCGCUACUGCUGCAGGCGAAUGCUCAUGACCCAUGUUGACCUCAUUGAGAAGUUGCUCAACUACAACA